rnacentral:lncRNA from 1 species
AAUAUCUUUUCUCACCAAACAAGCUUUGACUUCAUGUUCUUGUUACUAUAAUCCUUGCCCCUCGAUAUACACGAAUUUGCGAUUUGGACCAAUCUAGGAUUUCUCCAUUACAUUCUCACCCCUCUUCCAGAAGGGCAAAGCGAAUGGCUCACUCAAUUGCGAAAGCCACUCUUGGCCUCACAUGACCUAACCAAAUCGUACCAAAGGUAUUCUUUUACUGUCAAGUAAUCAUGUAAUUGAACACUUUAUUUUCAUUGUGUUGAUAGUAUUUGUUUUGCUUAAGAUUAAGAUAAUCUUCAGAGUUCAUCUGGAUUUAUGCUGAAAUCAAUGGCUUCCUGGAGUGAGCCGAAUUUUACUAAGAUUUAAUGGGUUUAUCUUUGUUCACGCAAAUGCAGAGUCUCGAGUUUUUCAAUCUUGAUUGAUUCUUUGAAUUAAAGUUUGUAUGUGACGUUUAUAUUAUUAGGUUCCUAAAUGUGCAUUAAUACAGAGGGGGUAUGAUGAUACGGAGUGAUAUUUUUCAAUGUUUCACUAUUUUUUUGUAGAUACAAUCUGAAAGAAGUCGAAUAUUUCAGCUGCGUUCUUCUUUAAAAUUAUUGUCAUUUUUCUUGGAGGUAUUUGUGUCUUGUAUGUUCCAUGUCUAUCCCUUGGUACAAUCUCAAGGACGAAUUAUUUCUGUUUGUAAGCAUCAUUCACCCAUGUGCUCGUGCACAUGACAGAUGCUUGUCAAUGUCUGUGUUUUGUUUAUGUAUUUGCAUACAUAUACUUAUGUAUACUUACAUAUAGGUAUGUGUUUAUAUGCCUGUAAGUGCAGCUUUAUGUGUGUUUAAUUUUGGGGGGAUUAGUGAUUGCACCAUCUCUAAAUUUGACCUGUAUUAUUGAAUGAUUGAAGAUUUCAUUUGCGGCAAAAGAGAUUGAUUUGUUAGAAUGGAAAGGCGACAUACUUGCAGUAGGCACAACAGAGACGGACAUGACCAAGGAUGAGAAUUUAAAGUUCAAGAGUUUAAUCCUGCAAAAGCUAGAUUCUCAAUUAGGUGGUUUGUUGUCUGAAGCAUCAUCAGAGGAGGAUUUUACUGGAAAGGCUGGACAGUCAACUGUUCUUAGGCUGCCCAAUCUUGGAUUGAAAACGGUAUGUCUAAUUAGUCUUGGAUCAGCGACAUCAGCAACUGAUGCAUAUCGCAGUCUUGGUGAGGCUGUUUCUGCAGCAGCUAAGUCUCCUCAGGCAAGUAAUGUUGCCAUCACACUUGCUGCUUCUGGAGAGCUUACUACAGAAUCAAAGCUAAGCUUUGCUUCAGCCAUAGCUACUGGUACUUUUCUUAGAUUACUUCUUUUUCAUUUGACCACAACAUCAGUUUGUUGCUACUUCAUUAAAUUAAUAUUGGGGGAAUGUCUCAAAUGCCAAAGGAGCUGUACUGGGGACUUAUGAAGACAACAGAUUCAAGCAGAGUCGAAGAAACAGGGUCUCAAAUCAGUGGAUAUUCUUGGUCUUGGCACUGGAUGUGAAAUAGAAAAGAAACUCAAAUAUGCAGAAGAGAUUUGUUCUGGGAUAAUUUUUGGAAAAGAGCUAGUAAAUGCACCUGCUAAUGUACUCACCCCUGGUUAGUUAUCUUUCUUAUUGUACUAUUUCUUUUUUUGAUUACUUUACGUUACUAGUGAAAGAGUAAUUAUCGCGGAAAGUUGUUUGGGUAUAAUCAAGGUGGGAUCAUUUUUCCUAUGACCUUUUAAAUUGUACAUUUCUUUAUUGCCUCAGUCUCUUCACGGGGUAAAAUAUGCGUUAUCUUGUUAAUUUGGUUAAUUGGAUAUGUUAGGCAGAAGAGGCCAAAAGGAUUGCUUCUGAGCACGGUGAUGUUCUUUCUGCAACAAUCUUGGAUGUAGAGCAAUGCAAAGAAUUAAAAAUGGGUUCUUAUCUCGGUGUUGCAGCAGCAUCUGCUAAUCCUCCUCAUUUUAUCCACUUAUGUUACAGGCCUCCAUGGGGAGCAGUCAAAACCAAGCUGGCCUUAGUUGGAAAGGGGUUGACGUUUGACAGGUGAAUAAAUAUGUAUUACCAAAUACUUACAUUUUAAGGGAUGCCUUCUGAAAUCUGGUUGAAAUGAAAUAUAUUUAUUUCGUUUCAUGGGGGUCCUCAGUAGUGCAAAAUCUUCUGAAAUUUUCCUCUUUUAUGUUCCUGUGGUGGCUACAAUAUCAAGACAGGACCAGGUUGUUCCAUUGAGCUCAUGAAAUUAGACAUGGGAGGUUCAGUAGCCAUAUUGGGUGCAGCAAAGGCUCUUGGUCAAAUUAAGCCAGCUGGAGUAGAGGUGACUCAUUUCUUUUUCUUGUUAUUGUUUCAAGAACGACGUGCUGGUUAUGGACUCGAUUCAUUUUCACAUUAUGGUCGUCUUAUUCUCGUUUCAUCCCACUGUACUGUUAGUUAAAAUAUCUAUUAAUCAUGUCUCAGUUAACAUAUUUAGAGAUUGAUCGGAAAACCUGGUAAUGAGUGAUAUUUAUGCAGGUUCAUUUCAUUGUUGCAGCUUGUGAAAAUAUGAUAAGUGGAACAGGUAUGAGACCCGGAGAUGUUAUUACAGCAUCAAAUGGAAAGACAAUUGAGGUAAUUUCUUCAUUUUGCUAUAGGAUAAUCCUGUGUCAUUAAUUCUUAGUUAAUUUUGUGAAUAUUUUCUUUUGAAUGUUCAUGCUCUCAAUUGCAAAAGGUAAAACUCUUCGCUUAGUUUUUCUCUUUAAUGUAUUGUGCUACACAAUAUUUAUUCUCACAACUCAUAUUAGAUGAUCUGUAAUGAGACUGGAUGUUAUGAGGUUUAAAUUUUCUGCAUAUUUUUUUUAAAACAUUCAUUCUAUUGAUAAAAAUGAAAAUGUAACAAAAUCUUUCUUCUCAGUUUUUUUAUACAUUUUUUUAUCCUCGCAACUGAAAUUAGAUGUAUCUGCACAAUGAAUCUGGAUUUGGUUUCAACAUGCAGGUAGAAUUUAAAGUUUUAACUUUUAACAUUCAGUUUAAUAUUGUUGAACAAUCCUGUCAUCUGGCAGAAGCUCUUACGUGUUACUCAGUCAAUGUCUGCGUUGCAUGUAAAUUUCUAUGCUCUUACAUCUUUUUUAAAGCACACCCCUUUCCUUUUCCGCUUUGUGUUCCUCAUUUGCAAUUCCCCCUGUUCAUGACAUUUCCACCAAGUAGAAUGGAAAAAAAACAGAAAGUUAGGAUCUCUUUACUCCAUUUAUAACUAUCCUUGCAGUUAUUAGGAUUCUUUUUUGUAUAUAUAUGAUGCUUUUUUUUGACACGUGCUGGGAUGUGUGUGCAAUAAAUCUUUUAACCAAUCGCUAGAGAAGAUGUUUACAUCGGCAUUUGGCGUUUAAAUACUUAGGAAUAUUUCAUUGUGCAUGUUAACACUUUAUGUUACGAAGAACUAUGUUACCCCAUUGUAUCAAUGAAAAUUGUUCGGAAAAAAUGCUUUUAUUAUGUUUGGAUAUCUCAAAUUCGAAGAUUUAAUGAAUUUGCACUAACACCUGUCCUUAAAACAUUUCUAUAAUUCAUCCUGAGCCAGUUAUGCUACUAUAUAGUUUUUCGGAUUCCAGUGUUAAGUUCUGUUAUGACCUGUCUUCUUUAAUAGUUUGGCAUUGUAUCUCCCAUUAAUUGUAGAAUGAUGUACUAGACAGAAGUUGCUUUAUUGUUGCAUGUGGUAUGGUUUUAAUUGCACGUCUAUCUGAUAAUUAAAAAGCUGACUUAGAGGAUGUUUGGUGGGGAUUAAAAUUAGAUUUUUUAGUAGAUUGCGAUAGAAGUUUUUGAAAUGUGUUGUUGAAAAGUUGUGAGACCAAUGAAAGAUGUGGUUAAUAUUUAACUUUGACUUAUAUUAAAAUCAUAUUUUAAUCCUAACCAAACAGGCUCUUAGACUAAAAUUUUCUUAUAAGUGAAUAAAUUUCAAAAUAAAUAAUUCUAUUCGUGGUAUAAGUUGGAAAUAACUAAGUAUUUACUUUGUCACUAAGGUAAGACUUACUUCCAAAAGGUAACUUUUUUUUACUUGGAAGUAAGAAAAAAGUAGGUUAUUCAAACAUGUUUAGAGGCUAAAUGUUACUUUUACUUUCUUUUUUAAGUUUAGCCAACGUGCUUUUAGUAUUUUGUAAGGUACUUACGCUUUGGUUAGUUCUUUAACCAUGUCAAUGCCUUACUCGACAAACAAGUUUAAAAGAGUCAAAACUUUGAUCUUCAAAUACGUUUCACUAUCGCUCCAUCGCAUAAUAACUGUUGCAAUUUCAUCAAAAAGUUGUCCCAUUAGGGUCUUGCCUUUUCAUUUAAAGCAAGCUUUCCACAUAUAUUCAAACAACGAUUUUAAAAUUUAUGGGACCCACUUAAGUUCAAGAUAUACUUGAAACAAUCAAUUCAAUCACCUUCAGAAGCUUGGUCUGUCUCAAUAUGCCUUUUGUUAUAUUUAUGAGUUUAUCUCACUUAUUAAGUUACUAAUUUUUUUUUUUUUUUGGCACUGAUCAUGCUUUAGGUAAACAAUAUUGACGCUGAAGAAAGACUUACAGUUGCAGAUGCUUUGGUAUAUGCUUGCAACCAAGGAGUGGAUAAAGUACACUUACAUGCCUUUACUUUUGCAUCUCUUUGGAAAACACCAUUUUUAUGGGUUUUAUUCUCUCAUCAGUUGUCCAUGUAUUUCGUUUUCUGGAACGAGUACCUAAAACGCACGAGAUAUAUGAUACACAAAUUUAAAACCUUUGAAUAAGUCAUGACACUAAAAUUUUAGGGUUCACUUUGGAUUUUGAUAUGUGUUUUUAAUCAUUUGCAGAUCGUUGAUUUGGCCACAUUGACUGGGGCUUGUUUGUUGCUCUUGGGCCCUCUAUUGCUGGUAUGUAAUUUAUAAAUCUUAUUUGUCCUGUAUUCUUUGAGAACCACCUCCGAUCCAAUAGAUUUUUUGGCUUCUUUUCAAUUUGAAAUUCAUAAAAUGUUCUUAACAUGGAGAUUCGUUGUGAAGAUCCUUGCACUGGCUUAUUCUUGAUAUAAAAAAUCAGGUGUUUUUACACCCAGUGAUGACCUGGCAAAUGAGGUAUUUGCAGCUUCAGAGGUUAGUGGGGAAAAACUUUGGUGGAUGCCCCUGGAGGAAAGUUAUUGGGAGUCCAUGAAAUCUGGAGUGGCUGAUAUGGUGAACACCGAUGGUCGCCAAGGUGGUUCCAUCACUGCAGCUCUUUCCUUGAAGCAGGUAUAGCUUCCUCCGCACCCCUUAUUCCAUGCUGAAGAUUAAGUUUGUUUUACGUUUUAAGCUUUUUACAUACAAUUUGAAAAAGAACUAUGGAAUUGCAAUUCUCGAACAAGCAAUCGAAAAGAUUCUGGAGCAUCCUCCAUUUUAGUUGUUACGAUAAUUGCCUAAGUUGUAGUUUUGAACAAUUCUUAUAGCAAGUCGAUUUCAAAUCUAGAAUAUUGGCUAUUCCGAAAAGAAUUUCAAAAUUUAACCAAUGGGCUUCUUUUUCUGAUGGCAAAAAAUAAUAAAAUAAAAAAAUCUUGUUAUGUUCCUUUUAAUCAGAGGAAAUCACUUGAUUGAAUAUGGAAAAAUUGGGUGCUGCCAUGUAGCUUAAUAUCAGCUAUGUUCAUGAGUUGAAGAUGCAUGGGUCAUUAGUGGGAGUUUAGUUUGUGCAUGGGCGUGGGUUACUUAAGUGUCGCAACAACUGAUACUCAUUUGGAGAUGUUUGCAAAUUUGACCAAUUGAGGCAGGUGAUUUUUUUAGUUGGCAAACUAACACUCCAAAUGGUGAAAGAAUCGCCCCCUCUCCAUGUCUACUGGAUCUGUUCUUGGGGAUAAGGAAAUUUUUUAUGGAUCAUUGGACAUUUUAGUUCAUCUGAAGGUCUAGAUAUGAUUGCAUAGAUUCUCUUCUUGUCUUUCCUUAAAUUACAUUUUUCCCUUCCCCUAGUUUUCUACUAAAUUCUGCAUUUUUAUUUCAUGAAUUUGAACCUCUGCACUUCAUGAAAACAGAUUUUCUUCCGAAUUUCUUAGAAAAAUUUAUUAGAUAAUACGUGUUAUAUUCCAAAGUUAUCCCAGUUCUAGCCUCUAUAAAUGCUGUAUACCAUAAGAAUUUGUUUGUAAGGUGGACUAUACAAUACUAGGCACUAUUAAGGAAGAAAAAAAUGUUAAAUCUAGUCUAUUGUAUUGCGUACCAAAGAUGUUCUAAAAGUUCUCUAAAUGUAUACCUUACAACGCUUUGUGUUUGUGGGGUGGGGGGCCCUAAUAAAGUGAAACCCAAAUGAGCUCCGACUAAUAAUAGAUUAAGAAACGAAAGCACGUGUUUGAGACUAUAAGUUGUUCCCUAGUCUGUCUCAGUGAAGGCACCUGACAUGUAACUCCGUACAUGCAGUUUGUUGAUGAGAAGGUCCAGUGGAUGCACAUUGACAUGGCUGGCCCGGUUUGGAAUGAUAAGAAGAAAAUUGCAACUGGUUUUGGUAUUUCAACACUGGUUACAUGGGUUCUAAAGAAUUCUUCUUAGUUUGGGUGUCCGUGGGGCUGCUCAGAGGACAAAUACCUUAUAUCUGAAGUCGAUUCAAGAAAAAAUGGAAAAUUCUUAUUCAGGUUGUUCGAUGGCUGGGGUGUCGAGUUAUACUAAUAAAGAUGGUUAGAGAAGAAAACGAGGCCGUUGCUGCGUUCUGGAGUCGUGAACUCUUGUUACUGUUCCUUUAUAUUAUGAGAAGUUUCUUUUAUUUUUGGCCCUAUCAUCUUGUUCCUGGGAAAAUGAAAAUAUCCCAUGUUUCUGCAUGCAAAAUGUGAUGUAAAAUGAACGCAGAUUGUUCUCGAACUUUCCUCAGCAUGGUUUACCCCAGCAUAGCUUACCAAGGCUUGAUCUCGGGCAGGAUAAAAAAAUUUCAAUGCUAAUGUGACAAUAGAAUCUUAGUUAUGACUGUAGCAAAUUUUUA